AGUAACGGCGAGUGAAGCGGGAAAAGCUCAAAUUUAAAAUCUGGCAGUCUCUGGCUGUCCGAGUUGUAAUCUAGAGAAGCAUUAUCCGCGCUGGACCGUGUACAAGUCUCCUGGAAUGGAGCGUCAUAGAGGGUGAGAAUCCCGUCUUUGACACGGACUGCCAGGGCUUUUGUGAUGUGCUCUCAAAGAGUCGAGUUGUUUGGG
rnacentral:rRNA from 1 species